UACAGAGGUCUCAAGCGUUGUUCGGAUUCACUGGGCUUAAAGGGCGCGUAGGCGGUCGGCCAAGUCUGGGGUGAAAUCUUUCGGCUCAACCGGAAAAGUGCCCCCGAUACUGGCCGUCUAGAGGGAGGUAGGGGCAUGUGGAACUUCCGGUGGAGCGGUGAAAUGCGUAGAUAUCGGAAGGAACGCCGGUGGCGAAAGCGACGUGCUGGACCUCAUCUGACGCUGAGGCGCGAAAGCCAGGGGAGCAAACGGG
rnacentral:rRNA from 1 species